GAUGAACGCUGGCGGCGUGCCUAAUACAUGCAAGUCGAGCGAACAGACGAGGAGCUUGCUCCUCUGACGUUAGCGGCGGACGGGUGAGUAACACGUGGAUAACCUACCUAUAAGACUGGGAUAACUUCGGGAAACCGGAGCUAAUACCGGAUAAUAUAUUGAACCGCAUGGUUCAAUAGUGAAAGACGGUUUUGCUGUCACUUAUAGAUGGAUCCGCGCCGCAUUAGCUAGUUGGUAAGGUAACGGCUUACCAAGGCGACGAUGCGUAGCCGACCUGAGCGAGUGAUCGGCCACACUGGAACUGAGACACGGUCCAGACUCCUACGGGAAGCAGCAGUAGGGAAUCUUCCGCAAUGGGCGAAAGCCUGACGGAGCAACGCCGCGUGAGUGAUGAAGGUCUUCGGAUCGUAAAACUCUGUUAUUAGGGAAGAACAAAUGUGUAAGUAACUAUGCACGUCUUGACGGUACCUAAUCAGAAAGCCACGGCUAACUACGUG
rnacentral:rRNA from 1 species